UGCAGAUGAUGUGAAACAUAUUUACUAUCUUAAUGAUCAGUGUCGACACUCUUCCACCAAGAUCACUGAUGCA
ensembl:snoRNA SNORD24 Small nucleolar RNA SNORD24